CCGCUGGUCUUCACUGAUCUCCUUCCUUGCCGAGCUCUCACGGACGGCCACCUCCACCGUCACCUUCCUUCCUAAUAGAGCUCCACCCACCUCCAUCCACCUCAUGUGCUAAGAUGAAUUUUUAUUAGAAAAAGCAAGUUCUACCUAAAAACUUCUAAUCCAAACAAUCAAAUCCUAUAGAUGAGAUUCGUUCUCAAAAAUGAAUUCCAGCAAGUUGUCCUUUCAUUUUUCUCAUCCCUUCUUGACAAAGCACAAGAUAUUCCCUAAAUCACUCUAAAAUAAACUACUACACAUAGAAGAAAUCCAGGCUAAAGCAUCCACAAUGAACAAAAUUCGAUCUUUAUAAACCAAAUCUAUAAUGUAGAUCACAAAAUUCCACCAUCAUCAA
rnacentral:lncRNA from 1 species